AUAUUGUUAGUAAAUUAUUACGUUAAUCACUUUAUGUUUACAGAUGAAGAUUAUUUUCUUUAUUUUCCCAUCCUUCUUAUUUAAUUGAAGAAGUUGAAGUUAUUGUUUUAACUGAAUCUUUACCUUUUCUUCAGAAAUCAUUUCAGCAACCAUUUGAGGCGGAACUGUCAACUCUUUCAUUCCCUCUUUAUUUGUUAUCUUAUUCAGUUAGAUAUUUAAUUUUUAGAUAUUUUUCUCCAUGUAAAAUGUGAAUUAUCGUUUCCCUUUGGUAGGUGUGCUUAAUAAACUUAAUCAUCCCAAGGCAAUAAUAAAAUGUAUCAAUUUUAUAAUCCAACUAGCAGAAAAAAAGCCAAAAAAGGCACAACAGGUGCAUCUCUAAAAGCCGGAAGUUGAAUUCAAAGAUAAAUCUCUAAAAUCAUGAACUCAGAAUUAGUUUUGCUGUUUGCUUCUGUUGUUCUCACUGUUGGUAGUUGUACUGAUAUUUCAUUGGACCAUUAAGUUAACGUCAAGAUGAGCCAGGAGGGAUAACAACUGAACAAGAAGGAGAAAAAUGAUGAUAAAGAUGGAGGAGCAGGUUGUAGGUGUGCGUUGGAGGUUAGGCCAGGAUGGUGGAGGUACUUUUGCAGAUGAACAAGUGAAAUGAGCUGGGGAAAGCUGGAAAGGUUGGCAGCAAGGAAUACAAUUUAUCCAUUUUUAUAUUGCGAAUGUUUAUCUCGCAUCAUUUGUUCUGACCUGGUUACAUUUAUGGUGAAACUCGACUUGAUUAUUUCAGUUUCGUAUUUACUGAUAACCUGUAAUCAUUUUUUACUUUUCCUUAUAAUAGCUUCAACACCAAUCUGAAGACACUUAAUGCGGUCACAAGACAGUUUGACCAUCUUGUCAAGCAAUAUUAUCACCAAUAACAUUGGCCUCGUAAUUUUUAAUUUCAACAACGAUGGACAAGUCUGACCAACUUACCUAUUUAACUUGAAUGGAAUACAAAAUUUAUUCAUUUGCUAAGGUCAACCAUUAUCAUGGCCAUUCAGUGUAGCCAAUAACUAUUACAAAUCUACCAUUAACUUUGAUUACAGGAAAUAUUCAUUGUUUUACUCUGGAAUUCAAUUUGAAUUGUUUCCAUCUUCUUAGCUGGUUAAAUUUUAAGAGACCUUGAAUUGACAACAGAUGAUAAUCAAUGAAAUUUUCAUUGUGGUUACAGUUAUUUUGUUUAACAAAAGAAUCGCUGAUUGGUUAUCAAAAGGUUUCAAGCAAUAGAGCUGAAUAAGUCAGAAUUGGUACAUAAUACAUAAAUUGAUUGAAAAAAUAGGUGAAAAGUAUUUUAAAUUUAAUCUAAAUGGUUACCAACAACCAGCAGUAACAAUGGUAUCAGCAGUGUAUUAGUAGCUAUUGUCGAGUGCAUAGGAAAGGCAAAAAACCAAUUGAAUUAUAUCGACAGUUUCACUGAAAAUCAUAUGAGACUGAAAACGUUAUCAGUUUAAUAGAGAGAGGAAGAAAAGGCGUAGAAAUGAGAUUUGAACAAUUAGAUGAUUGUAUUUGAAAUAAAGAGUAAGAUGAAACAUGCAUUAACACUCAUCAAUAAUGAUGUAAAUAAACAAUCAUCAAUGUAAUUCAAGUUGAAUGCUUCAAGCGACCAUGAACUUAUAAAUUGUUAUUUUGCCAUCCAUAAUCAGCCAAAUUAAUGAGAAGAAAUGAACGAUUAAAAUAACUUUUCUUUAUCACUCAA